CCCCUCCGCACCGCCCGGACACCCCCGCGGCGGACUACAGGUCCCAGCGGGCGACGCCCCAGCAUCCUCCGCGGGCGGGAUGGCCGCCCGCGGGGCGGGGGCAGAGGUGAGCGGCGCUGGGCCCCGGCGCCGCAGCCGGCCUUCCUCCCGCGCCGCGCGCCCCGGCGAGGGGCCCGGCUUCCUUGACAGCGGAUUCGUAGGCGCUUUUCCCGCCGCGACCGUGGGGUCGUCCCGGCAGAGCUUUGGCCCUGAUGGGCAACGGGCCGUUUCACCUUCCUGAGCCGGAAUCGCCCGGAGCGCUGCGGGGCGAGCGCCUCUGCUUUCCGACUGGCUCGCGGCCCAACUAGCAGGUCCCUGUGUCCCGACAGGUGCGACCCUGACCGCCCAUGCCUGCGGGCACCGGGAGGCGCGGCCUCCCCCAGGGCCUCCACCUCUGCUGGCUCUUCUGCGCUUUCACCGUAGAGCUCUGGUAAGGAGGCGGGGGCCGAGGGAGGCCGGCAGGGCCGGAGGAGAGCCGUCCCCACCUGGGGAGGGGGAUGCCUGGCCACGGACCGCUGCGGCAGGGGAGCCUGUUUUCCGGAUUCUAAUUUUUGCCCCUUCGCCCACCCGCUACAGCCGAGCAGAGGCUUCCGUGCGGGAGGAGAAGCAGUCAGGUGGGUGGCUGCCCGACCCCACGCCCCCGUGGUUUAUUGUUUUGCAUGUCUUCCCUACACACCCGGAGCUCGGACGGGAAAGGGUGGCACCGCACGGGACGAGGCCAGCGCUGGCCUGGGAUCUGGGUGCGUAGAGCUUCGGGGGCAAACGUUUUCUGAGUGGUCUGGGCCGGCAUUUCUUUCCUCUUUUAGUGAGCACCUCGACUUUGCCGUGCUGGCUGGGAGAAGAGUUCGUGGUCGCAGAAGAGUGUACUCCGUGUUCCAGUUUUCAGGCUGUGAGCAUCCCUCCCCUCCCCCGUUUUCCCCCAACAUCUAGCCAGUCCCCAAGUCUCAUUAAGCAUACCUUUGCAUCCUCUUUUCUUUCUCCUUGCAGUGUCAGUAUACGUCCAAAUCUGAACUUGUCUUCCCCCUGAAAACAUGUUCCUCUCUUUCCAAGUUAAUAACAGCGUUCAGCUGAUAACCAGGUUUUGUUCUGCUUUUGUUUUUUGUCUUGCUGUAUUGGGGAUUGAACCCAAUCCUACCAUCUAGCUCUCUAUCAUCUAGCCUCAUCCCCAGACCUUUUUUUAUUAUUUUGAGACAAGGUUUAAGUUGGCCAGGCUGGGCUGGAACUUGAGCUCUUCCUGCCUCAGGCUCCCAAGUUGCUGGAAUUACAGGCAUGCACCUCCAUGCCCUGUGGUUCUGUUCACUUUUAAUACACUAUGCUCUGGAAUCUGUCCUUAUGUCCUUCUACACUCUUACCCUGAAGUGUUUUUUCCAACACACAUUUCUAAUCAUGCAACCACCACCUUCAGCAUGCACAUCAGAGCUCUUUGUUAGCUCUGUUUUCUGGCCAGCUCUGACCAUGGCAUUUGGGCACUUGCCCUUUUGAAUGGCAACCUCUCUGUUUCUCCUGCUGCCUCUUCCUAACACAUGCUUUGGUUCUUUUCUCCCGGCAGAAAACCAUCCCUGAGUGUGGUUCCACAGGUUAUGUUGAGAAAAUUACAUGCAGCUCCUCUAAGAGAAAUGAGUUCAAAAGGUAAGGGCUUUUCUUUUCUUGUAGACUAAUUAUCUCCUUUCCUCCUGUGACUUCAUCCUGGAUAGCAUGACAUGUUGGAAAGAGGGAAUUUGGAGCUAAAUUACUUAAACCCAAGUCCUGGUUUUACUUCUCAGCCCUGUUAUUGGCCAUAUUUUCUCUUCAAUAACAUCAGCUAAUGUUAUCUUUGUUAUCUUACCAGAUGAUAUAAACACUUUAUAAGGCUGACUCUGUUUUCCUCUUUUUCUUUUGGCUGUUACCUCCUUGAUGGGGCUGAAGUAGAAGGGAAGUGGUAAGGAGAAGCUGUCUGGCCUUCCCUGGGAAUAACUGUUCCUUCCUAUCCUCAGCUGCCGCUCAGCUCUGAUGGAACAACACUUAUUCUGGAAAUUUGAAGGGGCUGUGGUGGGUGUGGCUUUGGUCUUCGCAUGCCUUGUCAUCAUCCGUCAGCGACAACUGGACAGAAAGGCUCUGGAAAAGGUCCGGAAGCAAAUUGAGUCCAUAUAGCUACAUUCCACCCUUUUAUCCUGGAUUUUACAGACCAUAUCUUAGAGAAAGUGAAAUGGACUGAUUUGCGCCUUUGGUUCUUAGGAAUCUUGUGGUGGUAACCCCUUCUCCCCAUCUUCCUCUCCAUGUCAUUAAUAAGCACAAUAAAAAAGAGUAAUUUGGUUUCUUUCUCCCUAUAGUAAUUUGUUUUGGGACAGGAAAUCAUGGGAGCAGAGAGAAAAGGGGGUGGCAAUCUCCCAAGUACCUACCUUCCCCCCUUUUACUACUUAUUUAAAACUUCUGGGAUAUAAUUUUAACUAGAAAAUUUAUUUCUUAGUCAAAACUUUUGUUUCCCUCAACCCUAUCCCCAAAGAAGAAAUAAAAUCACAGAUACAUAACAAAAGUA
rnacentral:lncRNA from 1 species